CUUUCUUCCUCCCUUUAAUAUGCACAUUAAUUAAAAUAUUUUUUUCUUUGCUAUUUGCACUGAUAAGUGAUCAUCAACGAAGGAAAGAAUAAUUAAGAUUCUAAGUAUCUCCAUUGUAAUUUGGGACCUUAAGUUCCACGGUAUAAAACUUUUUCUGGUAAAAUACUCUACUUUUGUAUUUGCCCUCAAUAGUUUUACAUAUUUUUCUUUUUUUCCAUUUACUACAGAGGCAGCAGCAAGGGGUGUUGCUAUGGCUGUCUGUCAAUUACGUGGGCAAGAACAUAGACUGGACGUGUUUCCAGAAGCUGCCCUUGACUACUACCUCAAACACAAUGCACUUGGUGGAUUCCAAAGAUUUAUGAUAGCUAUUUUUUUGGUAAAUACAUGUAAAAAUAAAUUUGCAUCACUAUGACUUUCUCGUGGGACACCUUUCUUCCAAGAAGCUCAACGCACUUUUUGGUGUGAGUCAAAUUCAUCUGGGGCCUCAAUUACAAAGCAGAUACAGUAUGUAAGUUGAGUUUCCUUCUGGUACCCCUCACCGGCAACUAUUCUUCAUAGGACUGUGGAAAGAAUCAUUAAAAAAAAAAGAAUCACUUGAGUUUAUGAGAUAUGUAAAAAUACCAUACACUAUAAAGUACAUGUAGUUACAAUUAUCCAUGCAGUCUAUUCUCAUCACCUAUAUAACACACUUUGCC
rnacentral:lncRNA from 1 species